rnacentral:rRNA from 1 species
UACGAAGGGGGGCUAGCGUUGCUCGGAAUCACUGGGCGUAAAGCGCACGUAGGCGGAUCUUUUAAGUCAGGGGUGAAAUCCCAAGGCUCAACCUUGGAACUGCCUUUGAUACUGGGGAUCUCGAGUCCGGAAGAGGUUGGUGGAACUGCGAGUGUAGAGGUGAAAUUCGUAGAUAUUCGCAAGAACACCAGUGGCGAAGGCGGCCAACUGGUCCGGUACUGGACGCUGAGGUGCGAAAGCGUGGGGAGCAAACAGGG